GUUGAAAUGAUGAAUUAAUUUGUCGGAUACCCCUUCACUCUCCUGAUGAGUGAGUCAUUUUGUUCUGACAAC
rnacentral:snoRNA from 13 species